GAUGAAGAACGUAGCGAAAUGCGAUAAGUAAUGUGAAUUGCAGAAUUCAGUGAAUCAUCGAAUCUUUGAACGCACAUUGCGCCCGCCAGUAUUCUGGCGGGCAUGCCUGUCUGAGCGUCAUUUCAACCCUCAAGCAACUUCUGCUUGGUGUUGGGGAUCGGCCGUCAAACGCCGCCCCCGAAAUCUAUUGGCGAUCUCGCUGUAGCUUCCUAUGCGUAGUAGUAACGUCUCGCAUCUGGAGAGCGGCGCGGUCAUGCCGUAAAACACCCAACUUCUCAGGUUGACCUCAGAUCAGGUAGGAAUACCCGCUGAACUUAAGCAUAUCAAUAAGCGGAGGA
rnacentral:misc_RNA from 1 species